rnacentral:lncRNA from 1 species
GCCGCCAGAAACGCGCGGCCAAGGUCGAGCUCGUUGGCCUCCUCAUCGUCUUCUUGCUGCGCUCCGUGACACCUAGCUAGGCCCGAGCAGCUCCAUCCCUGCAUCUCGUCCUUGCCAUCUGCCUGCUCCGCUUCCAGCAAGGUGAGUUCCUCCCUCUGCUUUCUUCCUUUUGUGAUCCUUCCUCCGCUGCUCCUCCCCUGUCACCC